rnacentral:rRNA from 1 species
AACGAACGCUGGCGGCAUGCCUAACACAUGCAAGUCGAACGAGACCUUCGGGUCUAGUGGCGCACGUGUGCGUAACGCGUGGGAACCUGCCCUUAGGUUCGGAAUAACUCCCCGAAAGGGGUGCUAAUACCGCUUAAUGUCUUCGGACCAAAGAUUUAUCGCCUUUGGAUGGGCCCGCGUUGGAUUAGCUAGUUGGUAGGGUAAAAGCCUACCAAGGCGACGAUCCAUAGCUGGUCUGAGAGGAUGAUCAGCCACACUGGCAAUGAGACACGGCCCAGACUCCGACGGGAGGCAGCAGUGGGGAAUAUUGGACAAGGGGCGAAAGCCUGAUCCAGCAAUGCCGCGUGAGUGAUGAAGGCCUUAGGGUUGUAAAGCUCUUUGACACGGGAUGAUAAUGACAGUACCGGGAGAAUAAGCUCCGGCUAACUCCGUG